UGCAAGACCCCGUGCACAGCUCCUCCUCAGACCUUACACAGCAGGAAGGGUCUUCAGACCUCUGAAGCACAAAUUAUCCUUAUGCCAUUAGCACUUUAAUAGGUAAGAUGAGACAAACAAAGUUUGAGCUGUGGAGCACAAACUUAUGCAAAAAGAGAACAAGAUACAGCAUCUAAUGCAGCUGAAGGUGACAAACAAGCACAACAUGUGCUAAAAUUUGGUUACUUCAAAGUGAGAAAUUUGCUAUCAGUUCAUCCAGGUGAAAAAUUCAAUCCAGAUAGUACAUCAGGAGGAUCCAGAGGUACUUUAAAUCUAGCCAUGAACCACUACUGAGGCUUGAAGAUUUCCAUAAAAUUAAAGCAUCACACACUGGCUACAUUUUGGAACAACAAUUCAACUGUCAUCACCCUGUCCUCCUCUCCCAAGUGAACAUCUUCUCAGCACCUUAAAAAUAAGACACCAUGGUAGAGAAAACUCAAUCAGUAAUUUCCCUCUCCCAAAACGGCACCAUCUUUUAUCCUUUCCAGAGAAGAAAAAUACCAAACUGAUGGAAUAAUGUUGUCCCUGAGGGUGACAGCAAGGGAGGGAAGCAAUGUGUCCUCAAACAUUCACAUAAUUUAAUCUGGAACUGCAAAUAUUAUUAAGCAGCAAUCAUAACAGCACAGUUACUGCUUCAUGGCACUCCAAAGAGGAGAUAAAACUGCUUAGUUGUUAAUUUCUAAUGAUGUAAACACAUUUGGAUUUUAAUGUUGUAUCUGAAUCUCCUGCAUUAUUAGCUCUGGGGUUACAAGACAUUAGCUUACUACCUUUAAUAAUUUUACAUUUGAAUUAAAAGGUGUGUUUAAAUAUGA